rnacentral:rRNA from 1 species
UCCAGAUGAACGCUGGCGGUCUGCUUAACACAUGCAAGUCGAACGGAAUCUUUCGGGAUUUAGUGGCGGACGGGUGAGUAACGCGUGAGAAUCUGCCUUCAGGUUCGGGACAACAGUUGGAAACGGCUGCUAAUACCGGAUGUGCCGAGAGGUGAAAGCUUAAGUGCCAGGAGAUGAGCUCGCGUCUGAUUAGCUAGUAGGAGUGGUAACGGCACCCCUAGGCGACGAUCAGUAGCUGGUCUGAGAGGAUGAUCAGCCACACUGGGACUGAGACACGGCCCAGACUCCUACGGGAGGCAGCAGUGGGGAAUUUUCCGCAAUGGGCGCAAGCCUGACGGAGCAAGACCGCGUGAGGGAAGAAGGUCUGUGGAUUGUAAACCUCUUUUGAUAGGGAAGAAGACAGUGACGGUACCUAUCGAAUCAGCCUCGGCUAACUCCGUGCCAGCAGCCGCGGUAAUACGGAGGAGGCAAGCGUUAUCCGGAAUUAUUGGGCGUAAAGAGUCCGUAGGUGGGUAACCAAGUCAGAUGUUAAAUAGUGAAGCUUAACUUCAUAGAGGCGCCUGAAACUGGUUGUCUAGAGUGUGGUAGGGGGUAAGCAGGGAAUUUCCAGUGUAGGCGGUGCAACAUGGCGUAGCAUCAUUGGGAAAGAACACCGGUGGCGAAAGCCGCUCUACUGGGCCUGGCACUGAACAACUGAGGGGAACGAAAGCUAGGGGGAGCGAAAGGGGAUUAGGAUACCCCUUGUUAAGGUCUAAGCCGUAAAACGGAUGGAUACUAAGGCGUUGGCCCGUAUUC